UACGGAGGGUGCGAGCGUUAAUCGGAAUUACUGGGCGUAAAGCGCGCGUAGGCGGUUUGGCAAGUCGGAUGUGAAAGCCCCGGGCUUAACCUGGGAAUUGCAUUCGAUACUGCUUGACUCGAGUCUAGGAGAGGGAAGCGGAAUUCCGGGUGUAGCGGUGAAAUGCGUAGAUAUCCGGAGGAACAUCAGUGGCGAAGGCGGCUUCCUGGCCUAAGACUGACGCUGAGGUGCGAAAGCGUGGGGAGCAAACAGG
rnacentral:rRNA from 1 species